rnacentral:rRNA from 1 species
CCUUCCGGUGGGUAUACGAGCCUAAACGGACGCGGUAAAUCGUGCUAAGGUAGCUAAGUUAUGGCCUAUUAAUUGUAGGUCCUGUGAAUGGUUUGACGAAUCUCCAUCUGUCUCAAAGUUAUUUAGGUGAACUUGAAUUAAAUGUGCAAAUGCAUUUAUGAGUAAGAAAGACGAGAAGACCCUGUGAAGUUAGAAAUUUUUAUUAUAACGUGAGGCCCUAGAAGCUAGUUAGCUUAAUGUUUGGUUCGUUUAGGUAGGUUGGUGUGUUUUGAAACAAAAAGCUUAUUUAAGGGGAAAGAGGGGGAGUAUAAUAAGUAAGUUUUGGCUGGGGCAGCAAAAAGGCAAAAUUAGACCUUUUUAGUUUAUUAGCGGGUGCGCUACGACCCACAUAAUAGGAGAGAUGUGCUUAGCAGAAGGAGUUACUCCAGGGAUAACAGCGUUAUCUAUCCUGAUAGUUCUUAUAGAUGGGUGGGUUUGCGACCUCGAUGUUGGCUCUGGGUGUCCUGAGGCUGUAGGAGGUUUCAAGGGUUGGUUUGUUCGCCCAUUAAAACCCAACGUGAUCUGG